rnacentral:tRNA from 1 species
GGUGUUGUGGCUCAGUGGUAGAGCACUUGCCUAGCAUGUGUGAGGUCCUGGGUUCGAUCCUCAGCACCACAU